AAUCAACGCUGGCGGCGUGCCUAACACAUGCAAGUCGAACGCGAAAGCCCCGCAAGGGGCAAGUAGAGUGGCAAACGGGUGAGUAACACGUGGGUGACCUGCCUUCGCGCGGGGGAUAACGUCCCGAAAGGGACGCUAAUACCGCAUAACAUCCUGCCUUUGAAGAGGUGGAGAUCAAAGCUGGGGAUCGCAAGACCCGGCACUUGAAGAGGGGCCCGCGCCUGAUUAGCUAGUUGGGGGGUAAUGGCCUACCAAGGCAACGAUCAGUAUCCGGCCUGAGAGGGCGGACGGACACACUGGGACUGAGACACGGCCCAGACUCCUACGUGAGGCAGCAGUGGGGAAUUGUUCGCAAUGGGCGCAAGCCUGACGACGCAACGCCGCGUGGAGGAUGAAGAUUUUCGGAUCGUAAACUCCUGUCGAAUGGGACGAAAAGAUAACGGGUUAACAGCCCGUAAUCCUGACGGUACCGU
rnacentral:rRNA from 1 species